rnacentral:lncRNA from 1 species
GAGGGGCCCUCGCGCCCCGCGCCCACAGGUGCACGCGCCCUUGGCGCCGCCUGCACCCCACGCGCCCCCUCCGCUCCCCGGCCGACGGCCCACCUGGGCUUCGUGAACAGUGGGAGGGAGAGUCUGGGGCCAGGAGAGGGACGGUGCAGGAUCAGGGAAAGGUGGAAAUCAGAAGUACAUGCAAUAGGAAUUAACUUGAAUAUGAUGCAUAAAGUUUGAAGCAAAGAAAGAUCUGCUGAGCAUGCCUGAGCUGAGAAAUGAGGGAAGGCAGACAUAUGUAUGAGCGCCUAUGCAGAGAGGCUCUCCCUCUGUCACCCAGGCUGGAAUGCAGUGGCAUGAUCUUGGCUCACUGCAGACUUCGCCUCCGAAUUCAUGUGAUUCUCCCACCUCAGCCUCCUGAGUAGCUGGGAUUACAGAUACAGGGUCUCACUCUGUUGCCCAGGCUGGAGAACAGUGGCACGAUCAUGCGUUAUUCACUGCAGACUUGAACUCCUGGCCUCAAGCAAUCUUUCUACCUUGACCUCCCAAAGUGCUGGGAUUACAGGUGUGAGCCACUGUGUUUAGCCUAGACUUACCUUUAAUAGCUUUUGAUAAGUUAUUUUUUAAUGUAAUUUUGAUAAAAUAAUUGUACCUAAAAUGUACUAAUGUGUUGGUAUUGUCUACUAUCCAAUCUACGAACAAAUUUUACUGAUUCAUUCGUAACUGACCCCAGAGUUGGUUUGUUUGAAUCACUGUAACUGAGCCUCUAUUAUAAAGAUCAUACGAUGUUUGUUUUACCUACUUUCCCUUUCCCCUUGUCCUUUUCUUGCUCUAUGCGUGCUUGCUUGCAUGUCAUUAUUUCAGUAGAGGGUAGUCACUAAUAAUUGAUUAACUUCAUAUCCUAACCUACAGGGGUGCCUGGCAGAUUGAUGAACUUGUUUUUCUUUUAAAGAACCAUGAUCCUUAGGUUAUGCAGACCUCCUUGAUGGUGUCCAGAAAUUUGGGUAGAGGGAUGCCAACAGCUUUGAUCACUGGGGGAGUUUCAUCUCCCAUAUACCCACCUUACUCAUACAAGUCCCCAGUUAAAUUCAAAGGCAGGGCAGAUUUGAGAGACUGUCUCUCCUGCCCUCUUGCUUUGGUCAAAUUGAAUAAACCUUUCUCUGUUCCUGAGUGCUGAUGUGUCAGUGUUUGGCUUACCAUGCAUCAGGUGCACAGACCUAAAUUUGGAGAUUCUGUAACAUCAAGACCCAUAUGACGUUCACAUACUGGAUUAGGCUGAUGACUCAUAUAUCUCUCUUUUAAUGUGUGACCAUUUACAUCUCUUUCUCUCUCUCCUCCCUUUUUUUUUUUUUUUUGGCAAUUUCUUUGUUAUUAAUGGUCUUGUUUUAAAGUGAAGUAUUGUCAUUUAAGUUUAUAUAUCAAUGUUAUCAUUAUUUGUUUAUUUACAACAAAGUUUUAUGCCAAGGCAGUCAUGCCAUUACCCACCUGACCUGCUUUUCCACCAUCAGUUUUACCUGUGUGUGUCCCUGGAUCAUCAGGAAGCAUUGAUUGAGAAUCUUUUUCUCUUAAUCUGCCUUACUAUUUUCUAAUGUAGUUACUGAUCAAACUUAGCAGUAACCCACUCAUUUUGUGUGUAGGCAAAAGCAACUAUGAAUAAACAGAAGAAGUCUCCCACAGUGGGUAAAUGUGUGGACCUGGGUUUGAAACCUGAUGAAACUUGCUGGCUGUGACCCCUUGGGCCAGGGAUUAACUGCUGUCACUCUUAGUUCCCUCAACCCUCAGGUGCAUGUGAUUAUAUUCACUGCCUGAUAUGGUUUGGCUCUGUGUCCCCACCCAACUCUCAUCUUGUAGCUCCCAUAAUUCCCACGUGUUGUGGGAGGGACCCGGUGGGAGGUGAUGGAAUCAUGGGGGUGGGUCUUUCCUGUGCUGUUCUUGUGAUAGUGAAUGUGUCUCAUGAGAUCUGAUGGUUUUAAAAACGGGAGUCCUCCUGCACAAGUUCUCUCUUUGCCUGCUGCCAUCCACAUAAGAUGUAACUUCCUCCUCCUUUCCUUCUGCUGUGAUUGUGUAUCCUCCCCAGCCACAUGGAACUGUAAGUUCAAUAAACUUCUUUCUUUUGUAAAUUGCCCAGUCUCAGGUAUAUCUUUAUCAGCAGCAUGAGAACAGAUCAAUACAGUAAUUUGGUAGCAGGUAGUGGGGUGCUACUCUAAA